AAAUAAAAUAUAUUAAUGAGAAUUAAAGCCACAGAAUUAAAAACACAUUUAAGAAUUAACAUAUUUAAUAACGUUUUAGUCACUCUACCAUCUCUCACUUGGCCGUUACGCAUUUAUGUGGGAUGAUAUUUUGAAGAGAAGAUUAAACUGAUAUACUUCCGCAACUUUUUUUCUAGAUGAUAACUUCUGAGAUCGGCCCUGUUGCGCCGCAUUAUCGAUUUACUCCUUCGCUAAAAUUGCGGAGUAAGCGAGAUAUCAGAUUUUUCUUAAUUUUGAUUUGCGAGUAAGACUGAUAUAUAUCCACCCGAUGAUUUUAAUAUCUAAAAAUAUAUAAAUGUAAGUACAAAAGUGAUAAUAAAACAUUAUAUGAUACAUACUAUGCAAGAGAGUUACUUAAUGUAACUAAUUUGUAUUCUAAUAUAAUAUAAUGCAAUAAGAUUUACUAUUGAUAUCGUACAUAAUAAUUUGAUUAUAUUAAUUAUUAGCAACCCUAUUCCAUUUUCGGGAAGGAAAAGAAGAAGAAAACAAGAAACAUAACAUUAAAGAAAAAACCAACAUUAACGAAAUGGCAUAGCAUUGCAUUAUAUGGCAAUGACAAAUUAAAAAAAAGAAUUUGGAAUUGUUUUUUCAAAA